rnacentral:rRNA from 1 species
AGUGAACGCUGGCGGUAGGCCUAACACAUGCAAGUCGAACGGCAGCACAGUAAGAGCUUGCUCUUACGGGAGGCGAGUGGCGGACGGGCGAGGAAUACAUCGGAAUCUACUUUUUCGUGGGGGAUAACGUAGGGAAACUUACGCUAAUACCGCAUACGACCUACGGGUGAAAGCAGGGGAUCUUCGGACCUUGCGCGAUUGAAUGAGCCGAUGUCGGAUUAGCUAGUUGGCGGGGUAAAGGCCCACCAAGGCGACGAUCCGUAGCGGGUCUGAGAGGAUGAUCAGCCACACUGGAACUGAGACACGGUCCACACUCCGACGGGGGGCCGCAGUGGGGAAUAUUGGACAAUGGGCGAAAGCCUGAUCCAGCCCUACCGCGUGGGUGAAGAAGGCCUUCGGGUUGUAAAGCCCUUUUGUUGGGAAAGAAAAGCAGCUGGUUAAUACCCCGCUGUUCUGACGGUACCCAAAGAAUAAGCACCGGCUAACUUCGUG